rnacentral:rRNA from 1 species
AUUGAACGCUGGCGGCAGGCUUAACACAUGCAAGUCGAGCGGAGAGAGGUAGCUUGCUACUGAUCUUAGCGGCGGACGGGUGAGUAAUGCUUAGGAAUCUACCUAUUAGUGGGGGACAACAUUUCGAAAGGAAUGCUAAUACCGCAUACGUCCUACGGGAGAAAGCAGGGGAUCUUCGGACCUUGCGCUAAUAGAUGAGCCUAAGUCGGAUUAGCUAGUUGGUGGGGUAAAGGCCUACCAAGGCGACGAUCUGUAGCGGGUCUGAGAGGAUGAUCCGCCACACUGGGACUGGGACACGGCCCAGACUCCUACGGGAGGCAGCAGUGGGGAAUAUUGGACAAUGGACGCAAGCCUGAUCCAGCCAUGCCGCGUGUGUGAAGAAGGCCUUAUGGUUGUAAAGCACUUUAAGCGAGGAGGAGGCUACUUUAGUUAAUACCUAGAGAUAGUGGACGUUACUCGCAGAAUAAGCACCGGCUAACUCUGUGCCAGCCGCCGCAGUAAUAC